rnacentral:rRNA from 1 species
UACGUAGGGACCAAGCGUUGUCCGGAAUCAUUGGGCGUAAAGCGCGCGUAGGUGGCCAUUUAAGUCCGCUGUGAAAGUCAGAGGCUCAACCUUUGAAAGCCGGUGGAUACUGGAUGGCUGGAGUGUGGCAGAGGAAGGUGGAAUUCCAGGUGUAGCGGUGAAAUGCGUAGAGAUCUGGAGGAACACCGAUGGCGAAGGCAGCCUUCUGGGCCAACACUGACGCUCAUGCACGAAAGCGUGGGGAGCAAACAGG